GCGGCCAGCAAUGACACCAGCACGCCGCCCGGGGGGCCCUCAUUCUCCCAGCGUAGGUCAGCUAUGUGGCCGGCCGGGUGGGGGGGGCGUUCUUUCUCCACCCCCACCCUCCCCAUCCACCAGAACGGCAAAUUUGGAGCGCUGCGCCGGGGAGAGCCUGCCGAAGAGCAACGCUGGAGGACGAGAGAUAGACGUCGUCGUCUUCUUCUUGAAGGAAUGGGCGAUGGAAUGCAGCGCAGCUUUGCAAUGAGACGCGCGUGGCUCUGCUUCUUGCUCGCCAGCCUCACCUGCCGCCCGAGCCUCCAGCAGGAGGCGACAGGGACCCCCUCCGAGACGGAAUUAAUUAACAACAUCACAGUGUUCACCCGCAUCUUGGACGGACUGCUGGAUGGCUAUGACAACAGGCUGCGCCCCGGACUGGGAGAAAAUGUGACCGAGAUCCAAACCAACAUUUUUGUCACCAGCUUCGGUCCAGUCUCGGACACGGAAAUGGAGUACACCAUCGACAUGUUCUUCCGCCAGAGCUGGAAGGACGAGCGUCUGUGCUUCAAAGGGCCCAUGAAGAUGCUGCCGCUUAACAACCUUCUGGCCAGCAACAUCUGGACGCCCGACACCUUCUUCCUCAACGGCAAGAAGUCCAUCGCGCACAACAUGACCACACCCAACAAGCUGCUGAGGCUGCAGGAUGACGGCACGCUGCUCUACACCAUGAGAUUGACUAUAUCUGCAGAGUGCCCCAUGCAACUGGAGGACUUCCCCAUGGACACGCAUGCCUGCCCCCUCAAGUUUGGAAGCUAUGCGUACCCGAUCUCGGAGGUGGUCUACACUUGGAAAAUGGGGGCGAACAAGUCGGUGGUGGUGGGCGAGGAAAGCAACAGGCUCAACCAGUACCACCUGACUGGUCAGACGGCCGGCACGGAGGACAUCCACACCAGCAGAGGCCAGUACACGGUGAUGAUGGCUCACUUCUUCCUGAAGAGGAAGAUCGGCUACUUCGUCAUCCAGACGUACAUGCCGUGCUUCAUGACCGUCAUCCUGUCGCAAGUCUCCUUCUGGCUCAACCGCGAGUCCGUGCCCGCACGCACCGUCUUUGGUGUGACCACGGUGUUGACCAUGACCACGCUCAGCAUCAGUGCCCGCAACUCGCUGCCCAAGGUGGCGUACGCCACCGCCAUGGAUUGGUUCAUCGCCGUUUGCUACGCCUUCGUCUUCUCCGCCCUCAUCGAGUUCGCCACCGUCAACUAUUUCACCAAGCGUAGCUGGGCCUGGGACGGCAAGAAGGCCAUGGAGGCCCAACAGCCCAAACGUAAAGACCCCUUGGUGCUAUCCAAGAAACCCAACAACGCCUGCACGGCCGGCGUCAACUACACCACCAACCUGACCAAGGACGCGUCCGUGUCCACCAUCUCCAACAGCACGUCGGUCCAGCUCAAGGGGCCCCCCGAGUCCAAAGGCGCCGAUCCCAAGAAGACCUACAACAGCGUCAGCAAGAUCGACAAGAUGUCCCGUAUCGUGUUCCCCGUCCUGUUCGGCACCUUCAACCUGGUCUACUGGGCCACCUAUCUCAACCGGGAGCCGCACGCCACGCCGCCCAGCACUUAACCUUCCUAAACUCAUCUGUCGCUUUUUCAUUUGAGGUAAUUUCAUUGCAUGUCGCUUCUUCCGCAUCUCCUUCACGGCCAUGUUUUUCACGUUUUAGCAUUUGGAUUCGAUUGUAGUUCUCUCUUUGAAAGGACAAGAGGCAUGGUGCCAAAGUACAGCAAGGUCAGUUGUGAGCUGCAAAAAUACAUUGUCAAGGACAGUUUGGCUAUUUCCAGCCAGCCUUCAAAGAUGUUCUACAAAUAGGAGGCACACGUACUAAACAGGGGAAAAAAAAAUCGAUGAGGACUAGAACACAUUUCUUGCCCAACUACGACUUUGUUCAGGUAAUUGAACUUUUUUUUUUCCCCUCCAAGAAUGUCAACUUUUUUCUUGUCUUAAUUUUUGUCUGCAUAAAAAAAACUAGAUGACAACUGAUGAGUGACUUUUAUGCUGUUUAAAUUGUAUUGUACUUUUUCCGCUUACUUUAAAUUGAGAUUUUGUGUUGAAUUCUCAUACAUUUCUGCCUUCACUCUCUUUUUGGUGUGGCUUAAAUGCUCAUUGGUACUUUUCCCGCAACCGUGUCGUCGUGUUUUUGGGAACGCCAUUGCGUAAAAUGUAUUAUUCCUGUAUAUUGCCAUUAAUUUAGCAACAGCAACACCACCAGUAGCUUUUAGUUUGGAUAGAACACGGUGACGCCUUGUAAUCUGAUUGUUUUUGAAUGAUGAGUUUUGAAAAGAGCAUUUGUUUCUGUCUUAUAAAAGUUCUGAAAUAUGAAUGCAAUGUAAAUGCCUUCAA